CGUCUGGGAGACCACAGAACAUGCUGGCCCCUCGGCAGACACUGGGGUCUUCAGCUGGAGAGAACUUGCAGGGAUGCCGGGCACAGUCGGGUCUCUGAGGUCCAUCAUCAGGCAGAGCAGCCAGACGGAGAAGUCAGAGUGAGGUCACCAUCGGAGCAGGGCUCUGGUGCCUAGAUGGUCACCUGGCCGUUAGGACAGCCAGCGGCAGGUGAGGUGGCGGGGCGCGGGCUCUGGAUUUCCACCUCCUGACUGGGAACCCCAGCCCUGCCCAUCACUAGCGGUGUGACUGCAGGUGAAUGGCUUCUCCUCUCCAAAUGCCCUGCCUCUCUUUCUGUCAAGUGGGGUGAGGGUUCCCAACCAGUACAUUAACAUAGGAAAGGCAUGGGGAAGGGUUCCUGGUCCAAGGAAUCCCACAAUAGGCAGCGACUACGGGGUUUUGGCAGGAACACUGAAAUACUAGGUUUCUCAGGGAGGGACGUUAAAACAGGGGCUGGCUGGAAGGAUUAGAAGAGCUGAGAAACCCAGUGGGGGAUGAGGCUGCAACCCAGAGAGCAGCAACAGUAGGAAGCUGGUGGCAUCCCCAAGCCUGGAGGCCCGACAGGAGGAGGUGACUUAUCAGAGGGGAGACACAAGGAGAAGGGCAACUCCACAGCACAGCGGGGAUGGGUUGUGUGGGCCACAGAGGUAAAGAAGGAGUCUGAGGAGGGGUUGGGGGGGAGACAGAGAAGGAAAGGGUGGGUGGGAGAGCCACAGAGUCGGCACAAAUUCAAUCAUAUCCUGCUUCCUAGUGGUGCCAUCUUCGUUGAUCUGCUCUACCUCUCAGAGCUUCCAUUUUUCACCUAUAAAACAGAAAUAAGAAUGACAUGUACUAGCAGCAAACGCUUAUCCAACUUUUGGUUUUCACACAGCCCUGCGAAGCAGGGACUACUCUCACUUUUACACCCAUUUUACAGAUGAGAAACGGAGGCACAGAGAUCCAGUCACACCACCGGCAUGUGGCAGAGCACAUCUGACCCAGCCUGUUGGGCCCCCAAUUCCUGUUCAUUACCACUACACUCCGCUCCCCAAUCUGCCAUCCGUGGCUCCCCCCCAAACCGGCCUCACCCCUCCAGGGCCUCUCUUCUUCAGAGAAUUUUACCCAGCCCCUCCAACCCAGAUUCAUCUUCAGCAUCUGCUCCCAACAGUAGGACCUGCCAGCAGACUUCCCACUUGUGUCCCAGGCCCGGGGUCCCCGGAGUCACACUGAACUUUGGGAUCAUCUCUGGGCUCAGGCCAAAGCCUUGAAUUUUCAAACCAGCCCCAAGGGGGAUGAAGGCUCCUCCCUGACAGGUAGGUCACCCAGGGCCCCACCUGUCAAGGAACAAAGAAGCCAGGACAGACUCCUUUGAGUGAGUAGAGCGGUGUCGUCCUCCCUUCCAACCAGUGCCCCUGAGACUUCUGUUGGGGACUGCUCACAGAGGUCCCCUGGCCAUGACCCCCUCCCUUCUCCCUUUCCAGAACUCCAGGUCAAGGUCACUCCAGACAGCCCCCUGUCUCUAGGCCACAGCAGGGCCUGGUUAGAUGGGAGGUCCAGCAGGUCCCUCGGGCCCUUUCUGGAUGUACCCCAUCCCAGGUUCCUGGCUUCCCCUAUUACUUUAAAGCUUCCUGCCCCUUACCCAGGGGCCAAGGUAAGUCCUAAGAUGUCUGGGCUCUUGAUUUCCUCAUAUUAUAUGUGUUCUUUAGGGGUCUUACACAAGUGCCUACAAUGGUAGGAGGAGGCUGAUAACUCCUCCCAUCCAACCUCACCCUCCAUGGUACCGGGGGGGACACAUUGUGGCUCAGAAUGCAGACUCGGUGGAAGUAUGCAGAGUCCUCGGCAGGUUUGCGGGGAGCGAUGGGGUGAAGCGUGUGAUGAGCUGGACCAAGUCCCCAGGGACCCGAGUCCUAUAGCAGCACCCACGCGAGCAUCCAUGCUUCGCGUGCAGUCACCCGCACCAGAGGCCACACGUGUCCCUAAACCACCGCACCGCCACGGAGACCGCAGGCUCAACAACUGGAUGCUACCUCAGGCACGACCACAGCCACACCUUUGUAUCCACAAUGGACAGACAAAAGCACCCCCCCAAUGUUCACACAUACAGGGAUCUCACAUGCACACUCAUCAGGACACACUCAGAGCCACACAACCCACACGUGGCCCCAUGGAAUCGCCCCCGUGGACAUCAUCUCACAUAUACGCCAUCCGCACCAUGUCCCACAACGGGCAUGCAGGCGAAGGACUCAUGCACACACCCAGCAGCUCACCCAGGCGCCCUCGAAUCCCUGGACUUACUUCCCAGGCAGACUGGUGCAUUUGCUCCCAUGCACCUCCACGGGCUCAGAGCAGCAGCCAGGCAGCCCUCUAGGAUUACUCCCCGAUGACCGUGACCAUGGGGAUGACUAUGCCCCAGGCACAGCCUCCCACCCACCUCACUCAUGCUGCUGUCCACACACACACACACACACACACACACGCACGCACACACAGGCGCACACGCCUUCACACGGAGCCUCCCCUUGGCCGGCCUCCUCCACCGGCUCGCACGGUGUGUUCUGAUCCCUCUUGGUGAGACCCUUCUCACAGAACCCAGAGCCACCUGGCCACCUUUGGGACUAAGAAAGUACCCUGUCCACUCCCCAGCCUUGUCCCCUAAGCUGGAGGGCCUGGGCCCUGGGGGAGGGGAGAGGGCUGCCCAGAGCUCAAAGUCCAGGGGCCACCAAAGUCUUAUUUGGAGGCCCGGGGGCGGAAGUUGCACAACCCGUCCCAGGUGGUCAGGGUGACUCCCGCGUAUUGUCUGCUUUUCCCCUUGGCCACAGGCCCAGGCCCAACCAGCCAGCCAACCUGUUCCUCUGGCAGAGGAAGGGACCUUGGCUCCUCUCUCCCUGGCCUUGGGGACUGGUGGCCAAAGAGGACCCCCCGGUCCCCAGCCGUGUGUGUUACCGCCUAAGGCAGAAGUGCCCAGAACCUAGUUGGAAGCCAACCUCUCCUUUCCCCAUGGCUCUGCUCAUCGAGAAGAUCUGUGAACAGCAACACACCAGUAGCAACAAGCACAUCUAGCACCGAGAUCUUACUUUCAAGAUAUCGCCCUCCCCCCAGACAGAUAUCAAGCUCUAUGGAGGAAAAGAAGGUUCCCAGAAGGGGCCAGAGAGAGCAUGAGACGAGCCUGGGGUCACCCAGGGAAGGAGUGCCCAGAGAACGAAGGGACACAAGAUCCGGCAGGGGCUUCUUCUGGCCAAACCUGGGGUAAUUCAAAUAUCAAAAUAAAUGAGCCAUCAGAGAAAAUAGGAAUCCGUGGGUCCACAGGGCUGUGAACAAACAAAUGAAUAAAUGAGCAGAAGAGAAUGCUUUUCCCUACUUCCCUGCGAAGUAAUAAGGGAAGAAGAAAAUCACCUCUUGGCAACUGGGAUGAUGAGGAUGAUUUCAGGUAGGCGACAUUGAGGGAUGCUUAAACUAAGGCUAUAAGUGAUACAGGGAGUGGAGUUUUCACGUAGUGUUGGGAGUAUCUCCCCCUAGAAACUCUGUUUGGACGAUAGUAACACAAGACCUUGACGAUGGAGAAACGGGUCAAACGGUGAGUUGUUCGAAGUUAACACCACCCGUGAGGACGAGCGGACAUUUAGCGGCACCGGAGAGGGGCAGGGAGAGAACACAGCGUCUCUCCUGUGAUGUCCUCGCCGCCAACAUGCACGGUCCUGGCAUAAUUACCAGGAAACACGGAUAAACCCAAAUCGAGCACCAUCCUGCCAAGUGACUGCCCCGUUCUCUUUAAAACAUCAAGAGUAAAAAAAACAUGAAAAAAUAAUAAUAAAAUAAAACAUCAAGAGUGUGAAGUUCAAGGCAGGACGGAGUAACUGGAGAGGAAGGACGCGGAAUGCUGGGCUGGGCCACUUUCCACCGGUGACACUGUGGCAGCAACAGGUGAAACGUGAAUGGGGUGCCUGGUUGUGGGGCGAAUGGAGUUCUUCACACCGUUCCUGCAUGUUUCUGCAAUUCGAAGUAUCUUAAAAUUGUUUUUUAAUCCCAUGCAGCAUAACUUUGUGAAAGUGUUGAAGGAGACUGCUGUUGUGUAUUUCUAAGAAAAAGAGGAAGCUGAGGGUUGUCUGAUGACCUCAUCUCUUGGCAUAGAGCUUGGGGUUAAUCAGGUGACACCAAAUAUAAGUGAACAACAACAACAAAAAAAGAUGAAUAAUCCCAGGA